rnacentral:rRNA from 1 species
UAGGGAAUCUUCGGCAAUGGACGGAAGUCUGACCGAGCAACGCCGCGUGAGUGAAGAAGGUUUUCGGAUCGUAAAGCUCUGUUGUAAGAGAAGAACGAGUGUGAGAGUGGAAAGUUCACACUGUGACGGUAUCUUACCAGAAAGGGACGGCUAACUACGUGCCAGCAGCCGCGGUAAUACGUAGGUCCCGAGCGUUGUCUGGAUUUAUUGGGCGUAAAGCGAGCGCAGGCGGUUAGAUAAGUCUGAAGUUAAAGGCUGUGGCUUAACCAUAGUAGGCUUUGGAAACUGUUUAACUUGAGUGCAAGAGGGGAGAGUGGAAUUCCAUGUGUAGCGGUGAAAUGCGUAGAUAUAUGGAGGAACACCGGUGGCGAAAGCGGCUCUCUGGCUUGUAACUGACGCUGAGGCUCGAAAGCGUGGGGAGCAAACAGGAUUAGAUACCCUGGUAGUCCACGCUGUAAACGAUGAGUGCUAGGUGUUAGACCCUUUCCGGGGUUUAGUGCCGUAGCUAACGCAUUAAGCACUCCGCCUGGGGAGUACGACCGCAAGGUUG